AGAUAACAUAAAAAUUAAAAUACUCACCAGAUAGAUAUAUUAAUUAACUAAAUGAAAAUGAGAAAAUGCGAAAAGUAAACAACUUCAUAAAAAAUAAAAAAAUAAUAAAAUUUUAUUUACAAAUAUGAACAAAAAGAAAAGAAAAAGCUUUGUAUUGUUUAAAAUCCACUGGAAAUUUUGGUGAUUUUGAAUACUUCAAUGGACAGUAAUUGUUGUGGUUAUUCCUCACACUAUAAGGACUG